UACUCACUUCCCAGGUGGGAGGUUGGGUGUUCGCCUCCUGCUGCAGCCGUGCAAGUCGCCAUCAGCCUAGCACGAAAAUGACACACGUGUGUUUUGUAUCGUUCCGGAGCUCGGAGGCCUCAAGUCAAGGCAGGACUUUAUCCCUCCUGGAGGCUUCCGGGGAGAAUCUGCUUCCUCGUCUUACCUAGCAUCUCGAAGCCACGGUGUUCCUCACGGCCCUUCCUCCUUCUGCGGGCAUCUGUCCUACCUGGCGUCCUUUGUCCCAGAAGCCUUGGAGCAAGCAGUUCCACGGGAGUGCGGGUGAGCGAGGUUCCUUUAAAGGGCCAUGUCGGGGAGACGCACAGGGCUCACCUCCAGGCCCCUCAGACCCGGCUUCCCACACCCUGGUUGGACCCCCCAGGCCUCCCACCCACCGCCUGAGCAGAGGACGGGGAGGAGAGCUGUCACUCCUCCCCCGCAUGUGCCUAUGACACAGUGACAUGCCAGGGGACAGUAAGAUGUGACUGUCAGGGAAC